AACAAAGAAAAGUAAAAUUCUCUCAACAUCCAACCCUAGCUACCGAUGCUUUUAAGCCUUCGCCGCUGUGCUACGGUGACUUUACUGGCGAUACUUUGUAACAAAAUGACCCACAACGCCUUCUCUUCUCUUCCAUCCGAACGAAUCUUCCGAAACAUGAAUAAGGAAAAGCAAAACUAGAUUGGAGCGUUAGUCUCUUCACUUGUUGGAUCCAUGUUGUUCAUCGUCGGAUAGGAUUGAAAUCACACACUGUUCCUCUUGUUGACUUAGGCUCCUUAUCUACCUUUUCAAUUCACCGGCGAAUGCUCCAACUGUCACCAACUUAAGAACCCGAUAAGGGUCAUCGAAUUCAAAUCUUCUGGCUCUAGAUUUUCUAUAUGGGGAAAUUCGUGGUUUUUUUUGGGUGAAAACCAUUAAAAUUCCAUAGAAAAUUAUAAUGAUUCUAAACGGGAAUAAUUUCGCACCAGGUUCAUCAUUUCCCCUACAUUAGAACAGAUUAGCGAUAUUACCUUGAACAAGAACUGUUUCCAACCAAAUAUCACAUCAUCUUCUCCGCUCGGCUUCCCUUUCAGCAACCAGAACAUAAAAGUCUGAUCCUAGCAUGUCAUGUAUAUCAAUUUUCAGUGAGCUGCUCAACUCAACGGUCUCCGUGAUCAAAUCUGCAUCCAUACUGAAGCCUAAAGUAGACAAUACCCAGACAACAUUCACGAUUCUGCAUAUGUUCUGCCUCAUCUCUAGUGGGGUAUGAGUUUGGUUUUUUUUUCUUCAAGAGCCAUGGAUUGUUCAGAACUAUUAGCUUGAUCCACUACCAUACUUUCUCUGGUUUCGACAUGUUCACCAACCCAUAUGAAUCCAUUGCGCCCGAGUAUCAAGUCAAUUCCAAACUGUUCGAGGUGAUGGAAAUGCUAUUUGUUUUUCUUCACUAGGCAUUCCCUUCAGGAAACUAGAACUGUGUCUACUGUACAUGCAAAUAUUGUGGGAUGGUUGAAAAUACACAUCAAAGGGGCAAAGAUGACGGUGCAGUUCCUACAGUUCUAACAUGUCAUUUAUGUGAAGAAAAAUAUCAUGAGCCAUGUAUUCAGCCAAUGGAUGCUUUUGAUGACGAUUCAAGUAGUGCAUUCUUUUGUGGGAAGAGAUGCAAAGAGUUGUUUGAAAGACUUCAGAAGCUAGUUGGGGUUAAACAUGAACUUCCAGAAGCUUUCUCGUGGACUCUUGUUCAGCGCUUUGAAAUCAGUUCAGACAUUUGUCUCAAUGAAGCAUAUAGUUGAAUCAGAUUCAAAGCUCGCUGUUGCAUUAUCUGUGAUGGAUGAGUGCUUUUUGCCUCUUGUUGACCACAAAAGUGGGAUCAAUCUGAUUCAUAAUAUUGUCUACAAUUCUUGGUGGUAACGAGGGUUUUUGUUUACUUUGUGCUCUUCAUCAUCACAUUGAACUUUCAUUGAACUCAUCAAGAGUUGUAUCGCCUCACAAAAGAUUUUACAAAUUGAACAGCAUUGUAUCAUUUUUCAGAGAUAUCAACUGGAAGAUGCUCAUGAGUUCCUGCAAUGCAUGUUACAUAGGCUUGAAAGCUGUUGACUAAAGCCCAAGAAUGAUUUGUCCUCUGUUGAUGAUUGCCUGGUUAAGAAGGUUUAUUGUGGUCGCAUGGUUAGUAGAGUAUAAAUGUUGCAACUUUAUCAUGGGUCAUUAUUGUCAUUUGUAAAAGAUGUAUAUUAUUAUUGUAAUUUAUGUGAACCUCUCCUUUAAUGUAAUUUAUAAAAA